rnacentral:rRNA from 1 species
GACGAACGCUGGCGGCGUGCCUAAUACAUGCAAGUUGAGCGCUGAAGGUUGGUACUUGUACCAACUGGAUGAGCAGCGAACGGGUGAGUAACGCGUGGGGAAUCUGCCUUUGAGCGGGGGACGACAUUUGGAAACGAAUGCUAAUACCGCAUAAAAACUUUAAACACAAGUUUUAAGUUUGAAAGAUGCAAUUGCAUCACUCAAAGAUGAUCCCGCGUUGUAUUAGCUAGUUGGUGAGGUAAAGGCUCACCAAGGCGAUGAUACAUAGCCGACCUGAGAGGGUGAUCGGCCACAUUGGGACUGAGACACGGCCCAAACUCCUACGGGAGGCAGCAGUAGGGAAUCUUCGGCAAUGGACGAAAGUCUGACCGAGCAACGCCGCGUGAGGGAAGAAGGUUUUCGGAUCGUAAAACUCUGUUGGUAGAGAAGAACGUUGGUGAGAGUGGAAAGCUCAUCAAGUGACGGUAACUACCCAGAAAGGGACGGCUAACUACGUG